ACCUGACAAGCCAAUCAGUGCCCUGCUCACUGACCAUCCAAUCAGACGGAGCCAAACUGUCCCAAGACCCACCUCUCCCCUGCCUCCGAUUGGACUGGGAGCACCGGGAUCAUCGCGUCUGUUCCGGUUGUUGCAGCUGCUGCAGAUGGAUGUCCGGUCCUGGGAGCUGAGAGGACUACUGCUGCAUGGUGGCUCCAUCCCACUGUCCCAUUAGCAGCCCCCCAGGGAGACAGCGACCUGGAAUCUGGGGAGACAGACCCAGAUUAGCUCAUAAAUCACUGCCCUGGGGACCAAGGAAAAAACCGUGACAUCAUCACUAUGAGACUCUACGUCCUGUGAUCCAGCUGACCGUGCAGUCAGCAACAGUCGCUCUCAGCUGAUAAGAGUUGGCAGCAGUCUGUGAUAGAACACAUUCCACCCAAAACUGCCCGGGUUACUUAACAUCUGUAUCAUCUGAGUGUUUUUGUCAUUUCACUGACUUAAUGUCUUGAAUUUGUCUAAGAAACAGAAAUGACACCGUUUAUUUUUCUUGUUCCAUCUAGAAAUAAACCAGCCGUGCUGUUAAGUAUGCAUUAAAACACCGGUUACUACUGUA